CCCUUAGAUGUUCUGGGCCGCACGCGCGCUACACUGACUGGUGCAACAAGUGUCUGACCUUGGCUCGAGAGGCCUGGGCAACCUUUGAACGCCAGUCGUGCUGGGGAUAGAUUCUUGCAAUUAUUAAUCUUCAACGAGGAAUUCCUAGUAAACGCACGUCAUCAGCGUGCAUUGAUUACGUCCCUGCCCUUUGUACACACCGCCCGUCGCACCUACCGAUUGAAUGGUCCGGUGAAGCCUCGGGAUUGUGGCUGGUUCCCUUUAUUGGGGAUUGGUUGCGAGAACUUGUCUAAACCUUAUCAUUUAGAGGAAGGUGAAGUCGUAACA
rnacentral:rRNA from 1 species